GUGGUGGGGGGUUUCGGGAUCCAGACCGGAGGUGUAGAUUUGAAGAUGCUUUUUACUAAGAUCAUAUUUGUGUUGCUUUACUAUCCAUGCUCAAAAUUACUACAUAUGCAUAGUCUAGGUUGCUCUAAAUUGGUUACCUUUACUUUAUCUGUUAUCUAUCUGUACAUGCUUAGUAGAUUGAAUCUGAAUCUCUCAUAAAUACCAAGUUAAUACUAACAAUACUAGUUGAAAUAGAUCUUGUACUAUAAGUUUUAUGGAUUGAUAAAUCUUAGGGAAUACUAUGAGGGAAGAGCUACGACUGAUUCGUACGCUUGCGGUUCACAAAUUGACAUGCUAACAGUCGUGAACAAUGGCCAAUGAGUUCCUCUACCACUGAAACCGAAUAAUGACGAAUGUAGCAACCGUUAUAGGACUCGUAACACACACCAUAUGAAUCAUCUCCGAUAAAAUAAACAUAGAUACCUUUGAUGCAUCAGGUAAUGCUUGUUUUGUUAUGUAACGACAUGCAUGCUCACUCCUCUAUAUUUGUGCGGGAACUAUAUAUGAUGCAAUCAUAUGUAUGUUGGCCGCGCUCUAUUAGUGCGAGAGGCAAAAGUUGAAAUUAUGCUAGUGGAUUGGCAUGUGAAUCAUAAGUUUCAAACGUGAAAAAUGGAUUAUGCAUAUGAAAUUAUUAGUUGAAAUAGGAAACAUCAAGUCUCUCACUUUUAAGGGAUAUAUAAUACUCCCUCCCUUCUUAAUUAAAUACAUGAUGAUUGGAACAAUAUAAAUAGUUCAUUCGAACUAAUUAUCUUAUUCUAAAUGACAUAUAUGUGAAAACAUGCAGUAAUAAAAGCUCUACAUAUAUACACAUUUGACCGGAGAGGAUUUCAAAUCAUCAUUGUAACGGACUCAAUGAUACGCCCAUCUUAUACCAUACUAACAGGAGGGUCUUAUUCUUAGGCAGGCAUUUAAACCAUGCCAGGACAGUACUCUACCAUCUCUCACCGACCAGUGGGCCCCCGGCGAACGUAUGCCCCGGUCCAGGAAGACCGUUACCAGUCACUCCUGACUUCCCAUCUCUCACACCGAUCCCUCAAUCACCCUCUCCACUGACAUCCGGUCCCAC
rnacentral:lncRNA from 1 species